rnacentral:lncRNA from 1 species
GGCAUCGUGGCCGUCGUCCUUGUCCACCUCUGUGUCGCUAGCCGUGCCCUUUACCGCCAUCGCCACCUCCAGUCCCAAAGCCGUCAUCUUUGUGCGUGCCCGCGGUUCUCACCGCCAGCCCCCGGGCCUCUAUCUUCAAUUGUGGGGGCACACAAGGGCAUAGUCCGGUGGGGCCGGGGACGUCACCUUCGUGCGUGCUCGUUGUUCCCACCGCCAGCCCUCGGGCCUCCAUCUUCAAUCGUAGGGGCACACAAGGGCAUGGUCGGGUGGGGCCGGGGAGG